AUGUCUUCUCAUUCUUCCACUUUGUCCUCUCUUCGAUCACUGGAUUCUCCUGUUCAUGUCUUCACUGCUGAUGGUACUCCACUUUCUGUUGCUAGUAGAGGCAAUCUUACCACUCCUUAUUCUGUUCCUGAUGUUGCUCAUGUUCCUCGACUUACCAUGAAUCUGUUUUCUGCUGGUCAACUUACUGAUUCUGGUUGUCGCGUCAUCCUUGACGUUGACUCUUGUUCUGUCCAGGACCGUCGCACGCACACUCUGGUUGGGGCUGGCCCUCGCCGCCGUGAUUCUCAGGGUCUUUGGGAGUUGGACUGGCUUCAUGUUCCUUCCGCUGCCACCACCAUCGCCAGUUCUUCCGCUUCUGUCGCCUCCGUUACUGGUUCCUUCCAGCAGUGGCAUCAUCGACUUGGUCAUCUGUGUGGUUCUCGGUUGUCUUCUUUAGUUCGUCGAGGUCUUCUGGGGUCUGUCUCAGGAGAUGUCUCUUUAGAGUGUCAGGGUUGUCGUCUUGGCAAGCAGAUUCAGUUACCAUAUUCACAUAGUGAGUCAGUGUCCAAGCGUCCUUUCGAUUUAGUCCACUCUGAUGUAUGGGGUCCGGCCCCUUUCGCUUUGAAAGGUGGUCAUAAAUACUAUAUUAUUUCAUAG
rnacentral:rRNA from 1 species